AUCACACGAUAAAUCAGUACAAAAAAGAUGCUUCCUGUGAACGAAUUGAAAUAUUUAACAAAAAUUAAAUUGAACCAGAAAACUAAAUAUAAACAUCAUUUUUAUUUUUUUUAUUUUUUUGUACAUGUAGUGUGAAUGUGCGAGUCGGAGAAGCUAGUACUACUACGAAGUUGGUUCUCACACAUUUGCUGAUAUCUACUGCAUCCAAUGUGGUCAUAAAUUGGGCUGCCAACACGUAAGACAAUACCAAAACAAUUUUCUCUCUCUCUCUCUUUUUUUUAAGGAUUUUAUUUUACUACUGUCGUCUUUAUAGAUAGCAUGCUUAAAUGGUGCUGCACUGCAUUCUACAGAUUAAAGUUCGUGGUUGGGACGAUCCCGAAGAUGGACAUGUGAAACUAAGGAUGCAGAAUCUCGGAAUCAGGCCACAAGUGCCUCAGGAACCAUAAAUGCUGGCUGUGUGCAACAAAUCAUCGGAACUUAGCUGAAGUUGAUAAUGUUUUUUUUUUUUGAGUACUGAAUUUCGACUUCUAAUUCUGCAUUAUCUGAUUCUUGCAGACCUAAAAUUUAGCUCACGUAUUGUUGAGGCUUACAAAUGAAAUGUUAUGUUCGUGACGGUUUAGAUGUACCCUUUUAUCUUCUUAGAUACUCGAUGACCUUUUAAGAUUCUUGGGCAAACAAGUUUCAAUAUAUCAUACUUGGAAUAAGUGUGAGGUUCCCCCGUUAUCUGAAUUAGCAUUUAUUCUUCUUAAUUUCAUUACUAUAUAUAUUGACAUUUACCAAGUCUGGUUGGUAUGACCACCUACUGAUCGUAAGUCGAAACGGAUGUUUUAAGCAGAUUCCUUCUCUCUAAAUUCACUGUUCACUUCUAUCAGUGAAGUUUGCGUCGAUCUUUUUAUAACGUGGAUAAAAAAUGUGAAGGAAGAUAUGCAACAUAUUUUCAAUACUAGUUACCGAUAGUUGACACUUGAUUAUCGUCUAAUUUCUGCAGUCAUAUGCAUGUAUGCAACAUAUGCUAGUUUUCAUAUAAAUUGUUCGUACUUUUCAUUUUAGAAAUGAUUCCUUACAAAGUAUUUUAGAGUAUGCUAUAAGUGCCUAAAGCUAGCAUGAUAAAAUAAUUUAAUGGUAAGUAUCAAGGUAUUUUUACGUCAUCUCACAUCAGAGUUAGACCAACGAGGAACUUUGAAACACGAUAAGGAGUGAUUGCUAUGCAACAAAACAAUUAGAGAAGAUGCAGGUAUAUAUAGCCCCAUCUCAGUCCUAUCUUGACAACGAAACAAUCGCAAUCGAGAAAUGUAGUAAAGUUUAGUUUACAGUCUACAAAUUGAAAAUUAGUUUACAAAAGUAUCACGUUUCAAAAAAGGAACUACGAAACGGGCAACUCGAUCAUCGGU